rnacentral:rRNA from 1 species
CAGAGGUGGCAAGCGUUGCUCGGAAUUACUGGGCGUAAAGGGCGAGUAGGUGGCCAUCUAAGUCAGACGUGAAAUCCCCCGGCUUAACCUGGGAACUGCGUCUGAUACUGGACGGCUUGAGUAUGGGAGAGGAACGUAGAAUUCCAGGUGUAGCGGUGAAAUGCGUAGAUAUCUGGAGGAAUACCGGUGGCGAAGGCGGCGUUCUGGACCAUUACUGACACUGAAUCGCGAAAGCUAGGGGAGCAAACGGGAUUAGAUACCCCGGUAGUCCUAGCCCUAAACGAUGAAUGCUUGGUGUGGCGGGUAUCGAUCCCUGCCGUGCCGAAGCUAACGCAUUAAGCAUUCCGCCUGGGGAGUACGGUCGCAAGGCUG